rnacentral:rRNA from 1 species
UGGGGAAUCUUGCGCAACGCGCGAAAGCGUGACGCAGCGACGCCGCGUGGGGGAUGAAGGCCCUCGGGUUGUAAACCCCUUUCGGCAGGGACGAAGGGAAACUGACGGUACCUCCAGAAGAAGUCCCGGCUAAUUACGUG